rnacentral:rRNA from 1 species
UACGGAAGGCAGCAGUGGGGAAUAUUGCACAAUGGGCGCAAGCCUGAUGCAGCCAUGCCGCGUGUAUGAAGAAGGCCUUCGGGUUGUAAAGUACUUUCAGUCGCGAGGAAGGUGUUAAGGUUAAUAACCUUAGCAAUUGACGUUAGCGACAGAAGAAGCACCGGCUAACUCCGUGCCAGCAGCCGCGGUAAUACGGAGGGUGCGAGCGUUAAUCGGAAUUACUGGGCGUAAAGGGCACGCAGGCGGUUAAUUAAGUUGGAUGUGAAAUCCCCGGGCUUAACCUGGGAAUGGCAUUCAAGACUGGUUAGCUAGAGUCUUGUAGAGGGGGUUAGAAUUCCAUGUGUAGCGGUGAAAUGCGUAGAGAUGUGGAGGAAUACCGGUGGCGAAGGCGGCCCCUGGGACAAAGGACUGACGCUCAUGUGCGAAAGCGUGGGGAGCAAAC